GUCUAAAGGAGAUGCCACGAACGCGGUGAUGUUUAAUUGAAAUCGGUACGUUCUCGGUGUGCGUUUAAAUCUGGCUUUCGUCUCUUCCUGUCGCGCGUCAAGUUAAUAAUGCACGAGCUGGUUUGGGGUCGAAGUAAAGCAGGGUGGAUGGCAUUUCAAACAGCGCGGGCCGCGCCGGAAGUUACACUUGCAAAUUUCAACUGUUUAUAUCUUGACAACGAAGCCUCGGAUCACAAAAUGGAGCAAACGGAUUCCACCGAUGCACAACAAAAGGAAGCCCCAAUUGACGAAUCCCGUAAAGUUGUCGAAGCCUGAACUCCAGGAGAAGAGACUAUCUCUAGGACGAUGGCAUCUGUAAGGAGAAAGAACGGAC